GGAAUCUUGCGCAAUGGGCGAAAGCCUGACGCAGCAACGCCGCGUGCGGGAUGAAGGCCUUCGGGUUGUACACCGCUUUCAGUGGGGACGAACCAAGAGGGUACCCACAGAAGAAGCCCCGGCCAACUACGCGCCAGCAGCCGCGGUAACACGUAGGGGGCAAGCGUUGUCCGGAUUUAUUGGGCGUAAAGAGCUCGUAGGUGGUUCGAUAAGUCGGGUGUGAAACCUCCAGGCUCUACCUGGAGACGCCACCCGAUACUGUCGUGACUAGAGUCCAGUAGGGGAGCGUGGAAUUCCUGGUGUAGCGGUGAAAUGCGCAGAUAUCAGGAGGAACACCAGCGGCGAAGGCGGCGCUCUGGGCUGGCACUGACACUGAGGAGCGAAAGCGUGGGGAGCGAA
rnacentral:rRNA from 1 species